rnacentral:rRNA from 1 species
UACGUAGGGUGCGAGCGUUAAUCGGAAUUACUGGGCGUAAAGCGUGCGCAGGCGGUUCGUUGUGUCGGCGGUGAAAGCCCCCGGGCUCAACCUGGGAACUGCAUUCGAUACUGAGUAUCUAGAGUAUGGUAGAGGAAAGUGGAAUUCCCGGUGUAGCGGUGAAAUUCGUAGAUAUCGAGAGGAACACCGGUGGCGAAGGCGGCCAACUGGACGAAUACUGACGCUGAGACUCGAAAGCGUGGGGAGCAAACAGG